rnacentral:rRNA from 1 species
CUACGGGUCGCUCCAGUGGGGAAUAUUGCACAAUGGAGGAAACUCUGAUGCAGCAACGCCGCGUGGAGGAUGACACUUUUCGGAGCGUAAACUCCUUUUAUAUAGGAAGAAGAUGACGGUACUAUAUGAAUAAGCGCCGGCUAACUCCGUGCCAGCAGCCGCAGUAAUACGGAGGGCGCAAGCGUUACUCGGAAUCACUGGGCGUAAAGAGCGUGUAGGCGGAUUAAAAAGUCAGAAGUGAAAUCCUAUAGCUUAACUAUAGAACUGCUUCUGAAACUCUUAAUCUAGAAUAUGGGAGAGGUAGAUGGAAUUUCUGGUGUAGGGGUAAAAUCCGUAGAGCUCCGACGGAAUACCGCUUGCGAAGGCGAUCUACUAGAACAUUAUUGACGCUGAGACGCGAAAGCGUGGUGAGCAAACAGGAUUAGAUACCCUAGUAGUC